rnacentral:rRNA from 2 species
UAGGGAAGAACAAGUACCGUUCGAAUAGGGCGGUACCUUGACGGUACCUAACCAGAAAGCCACGGCUAACUACGUGCCAGCAGCCGCGGUAAUACGUAGGUGGCAAGCGUUGUCCGGAAUUAUUGGGCGUAAAGGGCUCGCAGGCGGUUUCUUAAGUCUGAUGUGAAAGCCCCCGGCUCAACCGGGGAGGGUCAUUGGAAACUGGGGAACUUGAGUGCAGAAGAGGAGAGUGGAAUUCCACGUGUAGCGGUGAAAUGCGUAGAGAUGUGGAGGAACACCAGUGGCGAAGGCGACUCUCUGGUCUGUAACUGACGCUGAGGAGCGAAAGCGUGGGGAGCGAACAGGAUUAGAUACCCUGGUAGUCCACGCCGUAAACGAUGAGUGCUAAGUGUUAGGGGGUUUCCGCCCCUUAGUGCUGCAGCUAACGCAUUAAGCACUCCGCCUGGGGAGUACGGUCGCAAGACUGAAACUCAAAGGAAUUGACGGGGGCCCGCACAAGCGGUGGAGCAUGUGGUUUAAUUCGAAGCAACGCGAAGAACCUUACCAGGUCUUGACAUCCUCUGACAAUCCUAGAGAUAGGACGUCCCCUUCGGGGGCAGAGUGACAGGUGGUGCAUGGUUGUCGUCAGCUCGUGUCGUGAGAUGUUGGGUUAAGUCCCGCAACGAGCGCAACCCUUGAUCUUAGUUGCCAGCAUUCAGUUGGGCACUCUAAGGUGACUGCCGGUGA